rnacentral:misc_RNA from 1 species
GAUGAAGAACGUAGCGAAAUGCGAUAAGUAAUGUGAAUUGCAGAAUUCAGUGAAUCAUCGAAUCUUUGAACGCACAUUGCGCCCCCUGGUAUUCCGGGGGGCAUGCCUGUUCGAGCGUCAUUUCACCACUCAAGCCUCGCUUGGUAUUGGGCAACGCGGUCCGCCGCGUGCCUCAAAUCGACCGGCUGGGUCUUCUGUCCCCUAAGCGUUGUGGAAACUAUUCGCUAAAGGGUGUUCGGGAGGCUACGCCGUAAAACAACCCCAUUUCUACGGUUGACCUCAGAUCAGGUAGGAAUACCCGCUGAACUUAAGCAUAUCAAUAAGCGGAGGA